rnacentral:rRNA from 1 species
GACGAACGCUGGCGGCGUGCUUAACACAUGCAAGUCGAACGGAAAGGCCCUGCUUUUGUGGGGUGCUCGAGUGGCGAACGGGUGAGUAACACGUGAGUAACCUGCCCUUGACUUUGGGAUAACUUCAGGAAACUGGGGCUAAUACCGGAUAGGAGCUCCUGCUGCAUGGUGGGGGUUGGAAAGUUUCGGCGGUUGGGGAUGGACUCGCGGCCUAUCAGCUUGUUGGUGGGUAGUGGCUUACCAAGGCUUUGACGGGUAGCCGGCCUGAGAGGGUGACCGGCCACAUUGGGACUGAGAUACGGCCCAGACUCCUACGGGAGGCAGCAGUGGGGAAUAUUGCACAAUGGGCGGAAGCCUGAUGCAGCAACGCCGCGUGCGGGAUGACGGCCUUCGGGUUGUAAACCGCUUUCGCCUGUGACGAAGCGUGAGUGACGGUAAUGGGUAAAGAAGCACCGGCUAACUACGUG